rnacentral:rRNA from 57 species
GGUUGACCUCGGAUCAGGUAGGGAUACCCGCUGAACUUAAGCAUAUCAAUAAGCGGAGGA